UUUGACCUCAGAUCAGGUAGGACUACCCGCUGAACUUAAGCAUAUCAAUAAGCGGAGGAAAAGAAACUAACAAGGAUUCCCCUAGUAACGGCGAGUGAAGAGGGAAGAGCUCAAAUUUGAAAUCUGGCGGCCUACGGUCGUCCGAGUUGUAAUCUAGAGAAGUGUUUUCCGCUCUGGACCGUGUACAAGUCCUUUGGAACAAGGCGUCAUAGAGGGUGAGAAUCCCGUCUACGACACGGACUACCAGUGCUCUGUGAUACACUCUCAACGAGUCGAGUUGUUUGGGAAUGCAGCUCAAAAUGGGUGGUAAAUUCCAUCUAAAGCUAAAUAUGGGCGAAAGACCGAUAGCGAACAAGUACCGUGAGGGAAAGAUGAAAAGCACUUUGGAAAGAGAGUUAAACAGUACGUGAAAUUGUUGAAAGGGAAACGCUUGAAGUCAGUCGCGUCUUCAGAAAUUCAGCCUGGCUUCUGCCUGGUGUACUUUUCUGUUGGACGGGCCAGCAUCAGUUUCGGCUGCCAGAAAAAGGUGAGAGGAAGGUGGCACCUCCGGGUGUGUUAUAGCCUCCCAUCGUAUGUGGCAGCUGGGACUGAGGACCGCAGCACGCCUCUAUGGCCGGGGUUCGCCCACGUAACGUGCUUAGGAUGCUGGCGUAAUGGCUUUAAGCGACCCGUCUUGAAACACGGACCAAGGAGUCUAACAUGCCUGCGAGUAUUUGGGUGGAAAACCCAUAUGCGGAAUGAAAGUGAACAGUUGGGACUUCUGUCAUGGAAGGCACCGACGCCCGGACCAGACCUUUUGUGACGGCUCCGAGGUAGAGCAUGUAUGUUGGGACCCGAAAGAUGGUGAACUAUGCCUGAGUAGGGUGAAGCCAGAGGAAACUCUGGUGGAGGCUCGUAGCGAUUCUGACGUGCAAAUCGAUCGUCGAACUUGGGUAUAGGGGCGAAAGWCUAAUCGA
rnacentral:rRNA from 1 species